rnacentral:rRNA from 1 species
UCGAGAAUAUUAGUCAAUGCUCGCCAGAGUGAACUAGCUAACUGGAAUCACGAAUGUGUCAUUUGUGAUAACAUAAAGGAAAAAUUAUGAUGUCACUUUACUACUAGUGUUGUCAAAGUCUGGUGCCAGAAGACUCGGUAAGGCCAGAGACGCUAGCGUUAAUCAUCUUGAUCAGGCGUAAAGGGUUUGUAGGCGGCUUAAAUAAUUAAAGUCGAAUCCAAUAGAGGUCACCGUGAGAGAAUACUAGGAGUAGGGUUGAUAUCUGUAUAUACUAAGAAGAAUUCUAAUUAGCGAAGGCACUUUUCCAUCUAAUGAUUGACACUGAGAAACGAAGGGGAGGAUGGAGAAUAAGAUUAGAUACCCUGGCAUCCCUCUCUGUCAACGAUGAAUGGUAGUUGCUAGUGAUAAUAAUUAGUGACGAGGUUACGCGUUAACCAUUCCGCCUCGUGAGUA